rnacentral:misc_RNA from 1 species
GAAAUGCGAUACCUGGUGUGAAUUGCAGAAUCCCGCGAACCAUCGAGUCUUUGAACGCAAGUUGCGCCCGAGGCCACUCGGCCGAGGGCACGCCUGCCUGGGCGUCACGCCAAAACACGCUCCCAACCCCCUCAUCGGGAAUCGGGAUGCGGCAUCUGGUCCCUCGUCUCGCAAGGGGUGGUGGACCGAAGAUCGGGCUGCUGGCGUACCGCGCCGGACACAGCGCAUGGUGGGCGUCCUCGCUUUAUCAACGCAGUGCAUCCGAUGCGUAGCCGGCAUGAUGGCCUCAAAACGACCCAGCUAACGAAGCGCACGUCGCUUCGACCGCGACCCCAGGUCAGGCGGGACUACCCGCUGAGUUUAA